rnacentral:rRNA from 1 species
CUACGGGAGGCAGCAGUCGAGAAUCUUCGGCAAUGGGGGAAACCCUGACCGAGCGACGCCGCGUGUGGGAUGAAGGCCCUUGGGUUGUAAACCACUGUCAGAGGGGAUGAAAUGCCAGAGAGCUAUCUCUCUGGUUUGACAUAGCCUCAGAGGAAGCACGGGCUAAGUUCGUGCCAGCAGCCGCGGUAAGACGAACUGUGCAAACGUUAUUCGGAAUCACUGGGCUUGAAGAGUGCGUAGGCGGUUUUGUAAGUAGGGUGUGAAAGCCCCCGGCUCAACCGGGGAAUUGCGCUCUAAACUGCAAGGCUGGAGUGAGGUAGGGGUGUGCGGAACUUCCAGUGGAGCGGUGAAAUGUGUUGAUAUUGGAAGGAACGCCGGUGGCGAAAGCGGCAUACUGGACCUUGUCUGACGCUGAGGCACGAAAGCCAGGGGAGCAAACGGGAUUAGAAACCCGUGUAGUCC